rnacentral:rRNA from 1 species
UACCAGCACCCCGAGUGGUCGGGACGGUUUUAUUGGGCCUAAAGCAUCCGUAGCCGGUUCUACAAGUCUUCCGUUAAAUCCAACUGCUUAACAGGUGGGCUGCGGAAGAUACUAUAGAGCUAGGAGGCGGGAGAGGCAAGCGGUACUCGAUGGGUAGGGGUAAAAUCCGUUGAUCCAUUGAAGACCACCAGUGGCGAAGGCGGCUUGCCAGAACGCGCUCGACGGUGAGGGAUGAAAGCUGGGGAGCAAACCGG